CGGACGGCUUCUGGGGCGGCCUGGACUUCCCGCCGCGCUUCCCCCUCUAGAGAAUUAAGAACAAACUGCAGCUGCUGUGCCGCACUCAACCCUUGAAUCCCGGCCAAAUAUUCGAUCUGAGCUUUCCAUUCGGCUAAUCGUACUUCAGACUCAGUUCCGCCGUACUUCUGGAUCCAGGGGUUCCCCAUAAACACUGGCAUGACUCGGGGUAGGGCCUCUUGCAACUCGUUGUCGGCCAUUGGGGAACCUUGGUCGCUCAACCCGAGGUGGAACCCUGCCGACUACGCCAAAAAUCUGUCACAGGUCGGAGCUGACCACAGAUGUUGUGAGUCACGCCCCUUCCUAAUUUCCACCUCGAGGAGGUCCCAAGAAUACCCCAAUGACCAGACACACGAGAGCCGGUAAGUAAAUUUUAAAACAGACUUUAUUAAAUUACUAAAAAAAAAGGGUAUGGGGAAGGGAGGCUAAAAUCCAACCCUCCUUUUGGAGAGUAACAAUCUCGAGUCUCUUAGACUCCGUCACGGGAGAUCUCAGGUGAGUCCUUCACUCCUCUUUCCUUCUGGCUAUGUGACGACAAUCAGCUUAUUCACAAGUGCCCCUUUGUUCUGACUUGCAGGACGACUGUCCAGGGCCCUCUCCUUUCCUGGACGUAACAGAUACAAGUGGUAAGUAUUGAGAGUUUGGAUGCACAAUGGAUACCUGCUGCUACCUUUGACGAACUCCGAGGCGGCCCAGCGGGUUGUACUCCCGGUCGUCCAGCUGCUGGGGGAACUGCACAAGGGCUACCGGGUUCCAACUAAAACCGUACUGGUAAGUGUACGGGAGGGGGUUUCCGCGGUCUCUGUAUCCUGAGUGACGAGUCGACAUGCAGGUAGACGCUUCAAAGGGACCCGCUAGAUCUGCACAAAAGCAUAAGUGUAAGUGUAACAGGACUGGACACGGAUAGUGGACAGAGGGGCCGCUGGCUCUUCACUCGGAGGCACAAGUAAACCUUCGAGGGAAUAGACGUCAGACGUUCCUUUUCUGAGGCUUCUACCAACCGACAAGUCAAGAGAUCUAGACAGGGGCGAACCUUUGAAGAACUCCACAGCAGGUAAUAAUACACGCACAGCUGAUUUCCUCCUACAGCAGCCAACUCCUCACCAUUAAUACUUCCCAGUAGAUCCACACUGUUCUUACUUGAAAUUGUUUCCCACCACCGUCACGUGGGGAAGAAGGGUCAGGAUGUCAUCGACGGCAUAUAAUUGGAGAUGUUUUCUUCGAGCCUCGGUAUUCACUUCCUUCACAGGAUUUCGUCGGGCCUGAAAGGUGGUUGUUGACGACACAACACAGCACAACACUGCAAUUUUCAAGUGUAUACACUCACAGCAAAGGACAAAGACUCACCCACUGCACUCCACACACUCUGGUGAAUUUAGGGUCAACACCCCGUCUGACCAAAGACUCUUCCUGGAAGUCGUGAAGACACUGAUGCCACGAAUAUUCAGAUUUAAACGUUGCCGCCACAACAGCCCAACAUCCUCUCUCGCUCACUGGUCCCGGCUCACCCACAAUCCUCCUCCACAGUGGGGCCGCUCACAUACUAUGCCACAAACUCACAAAACGCUCACAGAUGGUUCACUCUAGAUGAUUAUACUGCUGUACGAUGGUUUAGGGUACUCACACCGUUACUACACGAGGUCUCUUUUCCCUCUUCUUUCCAGCUCCUGGGUACUUCUCCUGCUGCCACGUGCCCUGUCGAAAAGGCCUCCUUCGGCGAUACUUCCGGUGAGUCUUCCUGUUUUCAACCACUCAGAAUUUGUUACACAUGUCCAUGGAGCAUUUCACAGUUAAGUAGACAUUCCAAUAUACUCAGCCCGGUGUCUGUUUCUGCCAAACCCUUGUCUCCGUCUUUGCCCAGCCAACAAUAUCCUCUGCCUUCUUUCCACGGUACUCGCCCAAACACUCCAACUCUCUCGCCGUAUCGGCUGAAAUAAAACAAAGAACUUUUUCCCCCCCUCUGCAGUUUCUGAGGCCCUCUUUAUACUCCUCCUUCUCUUCAUACUGCCCAAUCCACGAUCGCCCCGUUCAUCUAUCCACCUGCGAUCAAUAAAACCCUGAUUUCCCUUCCCGGAGUUCCCGGUGUUUGAGAAUUAUGGUCCGGGUGGAACCAAUCUCCGUCAUUUUUUAGUUCCGCCCUUACGAAGUCACUCCGUGACACU
ensembl:lncRNA